AGACGACGAUGAGCUGAGAGCUUCGGAAAGGUCGACAAUGGAGGAGUCGUCGUUGUCUCCUGAAUGCCCAGUUUGCCUCCAAGUCUAUGACGGCUCCGACACGGUGCCACGUGUCCUCCCCUGCGGCCACAGCGCCUGCCAAAGCUGCCUCGGACAGCUACCUGAGAGGUUCCCGCAGACAAUCCGAUGCCCCGCCUGUACGCAGCUCGUCAAGUUCCCUUCUUCUCGGGGCCCCUCUUCCCUCCCCAAGAACAUCGACCUCCUCAGGCUCUGCGGCGACCCCUCUGGAAGAGGAAAUGGCGAUGGAGAUGAGAAGCUUCUGAAUUCCGAGAAUGAUCGGCCCCAUCAGCAGUUCUUCCUGCCGGAUUCUUGGUCCAACGAGUUUUAUACCAAAUGGAGGGAGUUGAUUCUCCCACAGGACGCCAUUUCUGUCCAAGAAGGAGGGAACAUUGGUUCUAUUGAUCCUGCCAGCUUGACGACGCGGCAUUGUUUCAGGGACAGUCGUGGGGUGAGUCUUUUUCCACUCUUCCCGAUGUCUGGUGUAAGUGAUCCGGCUUUUAGGUUCAGUUAUCUGUUUCGGGUUAUGAACUCUUUGAGUAGGAUGGGAGAUGAUGUGAUGAAUGAACUGACGAUGAUUCUGGGGGUGGGCAGUAGGCAGUGCAAGGUAUCCGGGACAUAUGGUUUCUGGGGACAUGUGGAAGAGGGGAUUUGUUAUCUAGUUUGUGAGAGACACAGAGGGCAGUUUUCAGAAAUUUUCAGUGAUUAUCCGAACGGGUUUAUUGGUAGAGAUGAUGGUAACGGAAGGAUCAGUGAUAGGUUGUCAAGUUUUGCGAUGAUUGGGCUAGAAAUAUGUGAGGCAGUGAUGAGUUCCCAUGAGAAAGAGUUCAUUCUCGGCUGUUUAGGCCUUUUGUGUGUUAAUAUAGACAAUUUUGGGCAUAUUUCUAUAGACUUGACAGAAGUCUUAGUGAUGGCAAGGCAAGUCCGUGCAACUGUUGCUGAGUUUCUUUCUGGUAGGAAAACAAUCGGGAGUGGAGAUUUUGCUGCGAUGUUCUUUAACUUACUCCAGAGCGGUGUAUAUGUGAGCCCCGACGUACUACUUGCAUUACUGAAGAAAAAACAAGUCACCACUGAGGACUCUCUCGGCAUAAUAGAUUCAGCAUCUUAUGGCUCAGAUGUUUGGGCAGUGGGUUGUAUGCUGAUUAAGCUUCUUGUUGGGAAAGAAUUCACUGUUGAGUCUUGGAGACUGGGCGGAGAAGAAGAUAUGGACUUCUCAGUCAUUUAUGAGAAGUGGCUGGGGGACGUGUCUUCUUUGUUGGAAACUAAACUGUUUGAUGAAUAUCAGACAUUGUGUCAGAUGCUCCUUGGCUGUUUGAACCUGGACAGACGGUGCCGACCAGUUCUAGCUGAUGUCUGGAAAUCCGUGAGGGAACUGCUCACGAAGCAUUGGUUUGAUAAUUUGAAAAGAGUGGAAGUAACUGAUGAGAAGUCCUUUAUGUAUUGCUUAAUUCUUGGGAAGCUGUGUCAGAUGUCCGAUGAAGUAAAAGAGACAUCCACAGAAAAUGAUUUGCAUGAAAUAAAUGCUGGAUUGGAAAAUCAUAAUGGAAAGGAGGAUCCUGAGAAAGAUCUUGGUGAAAGUCUGUCCCAGGAAAAUGUCAAAUGCAAAGAAUUGCGGAGCCAUCUUGAUUGUGUGACAGGAUUAGCUGUUGGAGGAGAUCUCCUCUUUAGCUCUUCAUUUGAUAAAACUCUCCAACUAUGGUCUUUGCAGGACUUCUCUCAUGUACACACAUUCCGCGGUCACGAACAUAAGAUCAUGGCCGUGGUUUAUGUGGACGAUGAACAACCUCUGUGUGUGACUGCUGAUGGUGGAGGCGGAAUAUUCGUCUGGGACAUAGGAUCUUUCCCAUUAGGGAACGAACCGUUGAAGAAGUGGUAUGAGGAAAAGGAUUGGCGAUAUAGUGGUAUUCAUUCACUUGCCUAUUCGAGAAGUGGAUAUCUCUACACUGGAGGAGGAGAUAAAUUGAUUAAAGCAUGGACCUUGCAGGAUUGCACACUUUCAUGCAGCAUGGAAGGUCACAAGUCGGUUGUUUCAUCACUAGUUGUAUCUCAGGGUGCUCUUUACAGCGGAAGUUGGGAUGGAAUGAUAAGGCUGUGGUGUCUCAGUGAUCAUAGUCCGUUGACAGUGCUGGGGGAAGAGAUUCCUGGGAAAGUAUCCUCUGUUUUGUCUCUGAAAGCCGAGAAGGAUAUGCUUGUCGCUGUUCAUGAAAAUGGAACCAUAAAGAUUUGGAAAAAUGAAAUGCUUAUGAAGUCAGUGCAAUCACAUAGAGGUGCAAUUUUUUCGGUUAGCUUGGAUGGCAAAUGGCUUUUCACCGGAGGUUGGGACAAAACCGUAAGCAUUCAGGAACUAUCGGAUGAAGAAAGAUGCUGUAUAGAUCUCAGGUCUGUUGGUUCUAUUUCUUGUGGUUCGGUUAUAACGGCUCUCCUCAGUUCCCAAGGGAAGCUCUUUGUUGCAUCUGCUGAUAGGACUGUAAAGGUAUAUUAUCCCGGGAAGCAAUGAAAGAGACUGCUCGGAGAUUACUACAGAGCGCUUUUCGACUGUAAAUGAAGAAAUUGCAUUGUGUCAAUCGCCAUGGACGAUGUUGCAGUAGCACGGAGAAGUCGAGGAGUUCGGGGAGCUAACUGCAUGAAGUUGGUGCAUGCUGAUGCAUGUAAAGUUUGAACCGCUAAAUGCCAUGAGGGCAAAAUUUUGCCACGGACAUGGCAAUGUCAACUUUUGACCGAAAACUUGAUGGGACACGAUAUCAUAUUCAUGUCAUAAUUAUUUAGCAAAGUACAAGGUCACAAGUUUUGGGAA